rnacentral:tRNA from 1 species
AUUUAUAUAGUUUAUUUAAAACAUUACAUUUUCAUUGUAAAAUAAAAAAAAUUUUUUUUUAUAAAUA